CUUUGGUUCUUGGGUGGCAAACUUUGGUUUUGAAAUUCCAAUCUCCAGUGCUGUGCUAAUGUAACAUUUGACCUCUGCACUCUUGUGAAUCUCUAUAGAUUUCCCCAUGAUGCUUGUGGCUUUUCAGCAGCUUUGGCUUUGCCCCAUAUACAACCAGAGGGGGGUGUUUUGAUUGGCUCUCUCGUGUCUGGGUUUCGUGUAAUCUUGUGGCUUUCCUUUCAAUUUCACAUCGCAUUGCCGCUGAACUGGGCAAAUGAGCAAACAGGACUGUCGAAGUAAGAAAGUUAGUGUGGUCAGAGGCAACCUUUUCCAAAAUGAUGUCUGUGCAUCUGAAAGGACAAGAAAUGUGGCCAGUAAAAAGGUUGAGCACAAUAGGGGCAACACUUGAAUAGUUUAAGGCCUCCUUGUGAAAUUUCAACAUACUUUACAAAUAGGAGAGAAGCCUGUCAUCUUCAUCAGCACAACUCUGGAAAUGCUCAGAAGACUCCCAAGACCCUCUUGAAGAAAUGAAAGUUAAAUAUAACUAAGCCAGUAAACCCACACAUGGUUGAAAAUGGGAGAAAUAAAUUCUAAGGCACCCAAUUAUGCCUCAGUAUGAGAUACUUGCCGAUGUUGUUUUUUAAAUGACAUACCAAAAGACUGCCUCAUUAAUUAAUGAACUGCGUUCAUUACAAAACGUGCUCUGAAAAGUUUACUAAAACAUGCUAGUAUACUUGGGCUGUUCAUGUGGGUUCAGUAGAAGAUCAAUGAACUCAUAAUACCCCGACAGACCAGUUUCUCCAUUGUGUGGCAUUAGUGGGUGACACCCCAUAUGAGGUUACUUGACAUUUGAUGAUUCAACUCUCCAAUGCCUUGCAAGGUCCCUGACAUUUCACUGCCAACAAGCCAUGGCGGACGACAUGGCAUUCACGGAUACAUUGGAAUCCAAAAUAACUUAGCAUAAUGUAAAAAAAGGUACACAGUGGAUUGUAUACCAACAAUGACAGGCCUACAUCUUGACUAUCAUUUACACACAAACA